rnacentral:misc_RNA from 1 species
CCGUCGUGGUAGUGGCGGAAGAACUGGUUGACGAAGAUGACGAAGUGGCAUCGGCAACCGGGGUUCUCAGGACGAGAAUCGUUGCAAGGAUAGUUAUGUAAAAAUCUUUGAUCUGGCUGACAUAGCAUUCUUUGGAGCAUGCAACUUUUGUGGCUUGGCAGGAAUUUCUUUGUUACUGGGAGCUAUUGUGUUUCAUAGUGCAUUAAUAUGGAUAGCCGUGGGAAUACUUUUUUCUGUAACCAUUAUAGUUGGAAUAUACGUGUUUAUUUUGACAAUAACACAUUGGGAUGCGCAUAAUAUCCUGUUGGAUUUUGCGUAUAUCCUUACAGCUAUUUUAUUGACGGGAUCUCUCGUAUUUAUUACUGUAUCACUGUAUUUCUUUGGAAGUGAUAUGAAACAUGAAGAGGCCUCCCGUGACUGGAGAACACCAAAUUGUAAAGGUAAACGAGUGUUUAGGUGGUUUCAUGUAAGAGGAGUAUGGCGGUUGUUUAGAAGGAGG